UACGAAGGGGGCGAGCGUUGUUCGGAAUUACUGGGCGUAAAGGGCGCGCAGGCGGCCUUUCAAGUCAGAUGUGAAAGCCCCGGGCUCAACCUGGGAAUGGCAUUUGGGACUGGAAGGCUCGAGAUCGGGAGAGGAGGGUGGAAUUCCCAGUGUAGAGGUGAAAUUCGUAGAUACUGGGAAGAACACCGGUGGCGAAGGCGGCUCUCUGGACCGAUACUGACGCUGAGGCGCGAAAGCGUGGGGAGCGAACGGG
rnacentral:rRNA from 1 species